rnacentral:rRNA from 1 species
UACGGGAGGCAGCAGUGGGGAAUAUUGCACAAUGGGCGAAAGCCUGAUGCAGCUAUGCCGCGUGUAUGAAGAAGGCCUUAGGGUUGUAAAGUACUUUCAUCGGGGAGGAAAAAACAAAACUAAUAAUUUUAUUUCUUGACGUUACCCGAAAAAGAAGCACCGGCUAACUCCGUGCCAGUAGCCGCGGUAAUACGGAGGGUGCUAGCGUUAAUCAGAAUUACUGGGCGUAAAGAGCACGUAGGUGGUUUUUUUAAGUCAGAUGUGAAAUCCCUGGGCUUAACCUGGAACUGCAUUUUGAAACUGAAAUACUAGAGUAUCGUAGAGGGAGGUAGAAUUCUAGGUGUAGCGGUGAAAUGCGUAGAUAUCUGGAGGAAUACCUGUGGCGAAAGCGGCCUCCUAAACGAAUACUGACACUGAGGGUGCGAAAGCGUGGGGAGCAAACAGGGAUUAGAUACC